rnacentral:tRNA from 1 species
UGUGGCAGAAUAGUGCUAUAAAUUUAAGAUUUAUCUAUAAAGAAAAUCUUUCUUUAGAA